CCUACGGGUGGCAGCAGUGAGGAAUAUUGGUCAAUGGACGAGAGUCUGAACCAGCCAAGUAGCGUGAAGGAUGACUGCCCUAUGGGUUGUAAACUUCUUUUAUAUGGGAAUAAAAUGUUCCACGUGUGGGAUUUUGUAUGUACCAUAUGAAUAAGGAUCGGCUAACUCCGUGCCAGCAGCCGCGGUAAUACGGAGGAUCCGAGCGUUAUCCGGAUUUAUUGGGUUUAAAGGGAGCGUAGGUGGAUUGUUAAGUCAGUUGUGAAAGUUUGCGGCUCAACCGUAAAAUUGCAGUUGAAACUGGCAGUCUUGAGUACAGUCGAGGUGGGCGGAAUUCGUGGUGUAGCGGUGAAAUGCUUAGAUAUCACGAAGAACUCCGAUUGCGAAGGCAGUUCACUGGACUGCAACUGACACUGAGGCUCGAAAGUGUGGGUAUCAAACAGGAUUAGAUACCCUUGUAGUC
rnacentral:rRNA from 1 species